UCUGGGUUGAGCUGAGCCACUACAACAAUGCCAGCUAACAUUUAAGAAAAUACACAUCCCCAAUGAGAAGGUUUGGAGAGGGGAGGAUGAUAGGGAAGAGAAACGACCAACCAUUCUUUAUCCUAAUCUUCUCUCUCCCCAUUUACCGCUCACCUGUUGGAAACAACCCCCUUCUUGUUAAUAUUCAACACCUAAAGCAAAAACAAUUCAUGUUUCCAACUACACUGCUUUAUGACUUACCUUUUGACAUCUGGCUUCAGCUUUAUGGACUGCCUCAGAUCCUCAGCUGCCUUUUGACAGAGAAAAACAAAAAUUAUCCCAUUGUUUCUCUUCAUGGGCAGCAAUCCUAAACAUUAAUGGUCUGCUUAAGGAGGAAAACAACAUUAUCUUUGUAAACUACAUAGUUCAUCAAAAAAAGGAAUAAGAACAAAGAAUCAAACAUACCAUGUAUUCUUUAACCAAUGUAUCCAGGUCUUUACUGAGGUAGAUACUCAGACAGCUCAGAACACAAUCACACUUCACAUUGAUGUCUUCAUUCUACAAAAAGAAAACAUAAUUUAUGCUCGUCAGUGACAAAGACACAGUAACACACAGGAGCUGAGGCUAACAAUGUCAGUUACAUUUACCUACUUCACCACACCAGCACCUUGCUUUACCCCACUCAGGUAAAGCUCACUCAGUAAACAGUAAUUGUGAAAGUACCAGAAAACAUGAAAAUAUUAGCUUUUCCUUAUAGCUCAGUAACACACAACAUAUCAGAUUAGAGAGAGAGAGAGAGAGAGAGAGAGAGAGAGAGA